rnacentral:rRNA from 1 species
GACGAACGCUGGCGGCGUGCUUAAUACAUGCAAGUCGAACGAUGAAAGCUGGAGCUUGCUCCGGCUGGAUUAGUGGCGAACGGGUGAGUAACACGUGAGUAACCUGCCCCUCACUCUGGGAUAACCUCGGGAAACCGAAGCUAAUACCGGAUACGACCCUCGGAGGCAUCUCCAGGGGGUGGAAAGAAUUUCGGUGAGGGAUGGACUCGCGGCCUAUCAGGUAGUUGGUGAGGUAAUGGCUCACCAAGCCGACGACGGGUAGCCGGCCUGAGAGGGUGACCGGCCACACUGGGACUGAGACACGGCCCAGACUCCUACGGGAGGCAGCAGUAGGGAAUAUUGCACAAUGGGCGCAAGCCUGAUGCAGCAACGCCGCGUGAGGGACGACGGCCU